CGUAGGUGGCAAGCGUUGUCCGGAAUUACUGGGUGUAAAGGGCGUGUAGGCGGGAAUGUAAGUCAGAUGUGAAAUCCCAGGGCUUAACCUUGGAGCUGCAUCUGAAACUAUGUUUCUUGAGUGCCGGAGAGGAUAGCGGAAUUCCUAGUGUAGCGGUGAAAUGCGUAGAUAUUAGGAGGAACACCAGUGGCGAAGGCGGCUAUCUGGACGGUAACUGACGCUGAGGCGCGAAAGCGUGGGGAGCAAACAGGAUUAGAUACCCUGGUAGUCCACGCUGUAAACGAUGGAUACUAGGUGUAGGGGGUAUCGACCCCCCCUGUGCCGCAGUUAACACAAUAAGUAUCCCACCUGGGGAGUACGGCCGCAAGGUUG
rnacentral:rRNA from 1 species